rnacentral:rRNA from 1 species
AAAUUGAAGAGUUUGAUCAUGGCUCAGAUUGAACGCUGGCGGCAGGCCUAACACAUGCAAGUCGAACGGUAGCACAGAGAGCUUGCUCUCGGGUGACGAGUGGCGGACGGGUGAGUAAUGUCUGGGAAACUGCCUGAUGGAGGGGGAUAACUACUGGAAACGGUAGCUAAUACCGCAUAACGUCGCAAGACCAAAGAGGGGGACCUUCGGGCCUCUUGCCAUCAGAUGUGCCCAGAUGGGAUUAGCUAGUAGGUGGGGUAAUGGCUCACCUAGGCGACGAUCCCUAGCUGGUCUGAGAGGAUGACCAGCCACACUGGAACUGAGACACGGUCCAGACUCCUACGGGAGGCAGCAGUGGGGAAUAUUGCACAAUGGGCGCAAGCCUGAUGCAGCCAUGCCGCGUGUAUGAAGAAGGCCUUCGGGUUGUAAAGUACUUUCAGCGGGGAGGAAGGCGAUAAGGUUAAUAACCUUGUCGAUUGACGUUACCCGCAGAAGAAGCACCGGCUAACUCCGUGCCAGCAGCCGCGGUAAUACGGAGGGUGCAAGCGUUAAUCGGAAUUACUGGGCGUAAAGCGCACGCAGGCGGUCUGUCAAGUCGGAUGUGAAAUCCCCGGGCUCAACCUGGGAACUGCAUUCGAAACUGGCAGGCUAGAGUCUUGUAGAGGGGGGUAGAAUUCCAGGUGUAGCGGUGAAAUGCGUAGAGAUCUGGAGGAAUACCGGUGGCGAAGGCGGCCCCCUGGACAAAGACUGACGCUCAGGUGCGAAAGCGUGGGGAGCAAACAGGAUUAGAUACCCUGGUAGUCCACGCCGUAAACGAUGUCGACUUGGAGGUUGUGCCCUUGAGGCGUGGCUUCCGGAGCUAACGCGUUAAGUCGACCGCCUGGGGAGUACGGCCGCAAGGUUAAAACUCAAAUGAAUUGACGGGGGCCCGCACAAGCGGUGGAGCAUGUGGUUUAAUUCGAUGCAACGCGAAGAACCUUACCUACUCUUGACAUCCAGAGAACUUAGCAGAGAUGCUUUGGUGCCUUCGGGAACUCUGAGACAGGUGCUGCAUGGCUGUCGUCAGCUCGUGUUGUGAAAUGUUGGGUUAAGUCCCGCAACGAGCGCAACCCUUAUCCUUUGUUGCCAGCGGUCCGGCCGGGAACUCAAAGGAGACUGCCAGUGAUAAACUGGAGGAAGGUGGGGAUGACGUCAAGUCAUCAUGGCCCUUACGAGUAGGGCUACACACGUGCUACAAUGGCGCAUACAAAGAGAAGCGACCUCGCGAGAGCAAGCGGACCUCAUAAAGUGCGUCGUAGUCCGGAUUGGAGUCUGCAACUCGACUCCAUGAAGUCGGAAUCGCUAGUAAUCGUAGAUCAGAAUGCUACGGUGAAUACGUUCCCGGGCCUUGUACACACCGCCCGUCACACCAUGGGAGUGGGUUGCAAAAGAAGUAGGUAGCUUAACCUUCGGGAGGGCGCUUACCACUUUGUGAUUCAUGACUGGGGUGAAGUCGUAACAAGGUAACCGUAGGGGAACCUGCGGUUGGAUCACCUCCUUACCUUAAAGAA